AGGCGGUUAGCUCAGCUGGUUAGAGCGUUGCGUUGACAUCGCAAAGGUCGUUGGUUCGAGUCCAAUACCGCCUACCA
rnacentral:tRNA from 2 species